GUGCCGUAACACAUAGCAAGUCGAACGAAGACUCCUGCGUUGAUUCUUCGGAUGAAACAAGGGAAGGACUUAGUGGCGGACGGGUGAGUAACGCGUGAGCAACCUGCCUUCAGAGGGGAGUAACAGUUGGAACGACUGCUAAUACCGCAUAACGUAUUGAUGUCGCAUGGCAUUGAUACCAAAGCUGAGGCGCUGAGAGAUGGGCUCGCGUCCGAUUAGAUAGUUGGUGGGGUAACGGCCUACCAAGUCGACGAUCGGUAGCCGGACUGAGAGGUUGAACGGCCACAUUGGGACUGAGACACGGCCCAGACUCCUACGGGAGGCAGCAGUGGGGGAUAUUGCACAAUGGGCGAAAGCCCUGAUGCAGCAACGCCGCGUGAGGGAAGACGGUUUUCGGAUUGUAAACCUCUGUCUUUGGUGAAGAAGGAAGUGACGGUAGCCAAGGAGGAAGCCACGGCUAACUACGUGCCAGCCGCGGC
rnacentral:rRNA from 1 species